AGCUUUUGGUUGGAAACCAGAGUUUGGUCUGCCCAGCUUCCAGUCAGAUGCAUGGACUGCAGAGCUGCUCUAAAGAAGACAUCACACAGAUGCAAUGGCAGUACCCUCUGACUAGCACACUUUCUGUGGAUGUGGGAGAUUAUGUCUUAAUUCACAGAAAAAAGAAGCCUUUAAGACAGGUAACAUGUUGACCAAAAUUGAUUAAUAUCCUUCUCGCAAUUGGAGUGGAAGUCUGUCAAAUCCUACAAAAGUUCAUAUCACAAAAAUAUA
rnacentral:lncRNA from 1 species